rnacentral:rRNA from 1 species
UACGGAGGGUGCAAGCGUUAUCCGGAUUCACUGGGUUUAAAGGGUGCGUAGGUGGGCAGGUAAGUCAGUGGUGAAAUCUCCGGGCUUAACCCGGAAACUGCCGUUGAUACUAUCUGUCUUGAAUAUCCUGGAGGUGAACGGAAUAUGUCAUGUAGCGGUGAAAUGCUUAGAUAUGACAUAGAACACCAAUUGCGAAGGCAGUUCACUACGGGAUUAUUGACACUGAGGCACGAAAGCGUGGGGAGCAAACAGG